rnacentral:rRNA from 1 species
GAACGCGAAGAACCUUACCUGGACUAGAAUGUGAGGGGAUAUCGGGUAAUGCCGGUAGUCCGGGAAACCGGACCCAAAACAAGGUGCUGCAUGGCUGUCGUCAGCUCGUGUCGUGAGAUGUCGGGUUAAGUCCCGCAACGAGCGCAACCCUUAUCAACAGUUGCCAUCAUUAAGUUGGGAACUCUGUUGAGACUGCCGUUGAUAAAACGGAGGAAGGUGGGGAUGAUGUCAAGUCAUCAUGGCCUUUAUGUUCAGGGCUACACACGUGCUACAAUGGAAGGUACAAAACGUCGCAAUCCCGCAAGGGGGAGCUAAUCGCGAAAACCUUCCUCAGUUCGGAUUGGAGUCUGCAACUCGACUCCAUGAAGUUGGAAUCGCUAGUAAUCGCAAAUCAGCAUGUUGCGGUGAAUACGUUCCCGGGUCUUGUACACACGC